GGGAUUUCCACAAAAGCAUCUGCUGCUGGGUGCUAGGAUGAGUGAAUGCCAAGGAAGAUUCUGUUACCUUUUCUCUGGUGCACGAAUACCCAUCUGUACGAACCAAAAACAUCUCUGCCUUCCUUCUUGACUGUACUCUUACGACGCCAGUGGCAGAAGCACACAUAUUUCCUUCAAUCUGCUCCAAGUUAUCUUCCAGUGAAGGUGUGAUGAC
rnacentral:misc_RNA from 1 species